rnacentral:rRNA from 1 species
AGUAGCAAUACUUAGUGGCAGACGGGUGAGUAACAUGUAGGUAUCUGCCCUUUGGCCUGGAAUAACACGAGGAAACUUGUGCUAAUACCGGAUAAGUCUUUACGGAGAAAGCUUUAUGCACCAUUGGAUGAGCCUGCACUUGAUUAGUUUGUUGGUGGGGUAAUGGCCUACCAAGACUGUGAUCAAUAGCUGAUUUGAGAGGAUGAUCAGCCACAUUGGGACUGAGACACGGCCCAAACUCCUACGGGAGGCAGCAGUGGGGAAUCUUGCACAAUGGAGGAAACUCUGAUGCAGCGAUGCCGCGUGAGUGAAGAAGGCCCUUGGGUUGUAAAGCUCUUUCGUCGGGGAAGAAAAUGACUGUACCCGAAUAAGAAGGUCCGGC